GAUGAACGCUAGCGGGAGGCUUAACACAUGCAAGUCGAGGGGUAUAGUAGCAAUACUAGAGACCGGCGCACGGGUGAGUAACGCGUAUGCAACCUGCCCUUACAGGAGGAUAGCCCGCUGAAAGGCGGAUUAAUACUCCAUAAGAUGGUACUGCCGCAUGGCAGAGCCAUAAAAGCUGAGGCGGUAAAGGAUGGGCAUGCGUGACAUUAGCUAGUUGGCGGGGUAACGGCCCACCAAGGCUACGAUGUCUAGGGGUUUUGAGAGGAAGGUCCCCCACACUGGUACUGAGACACGGACCAGACUCCUACGGGAGGCAGCAGUGAGGAAUAUUGGUCAAUGGGCGCGAGCCUGAACCAGCCAUCCCGCGUGCAGGAAGACGGCCCUAUGGGUUGUAAAUCUGUGUACGUG
rnacentral:rRNA from 1 species